GGCCAGACUCCUACGGGAGGCAGCAGUGGGGAAUAUUGCACAAUGGGGGAAACCCUGAUGCAGCGACGCCGCGUGAGUGAGGAAGUAUUUCGGUAUGUAAAGCUCUCUCAGCAGGGAAGAAAAUGACGGUACCUGACUAAGAAGCCCCGGCUAACUACGUGCCAGCAGCCGCGGUAAUACGUAGGGGGCAAGCGUUAUCCGGAUUUACUGGGUGUAAAGGGAGCGUAGACGGCUAAUCAAGUCAGAAGUGAAAACCCAGGGCUCAACCGUGGGAGUGCUUUUGAAACUGAGUAGCUAGAGUGCAGGAGGGGCAGGCGGAAUUCCUAGUGUAGCGGUGAAAUGCGUAGAUAUUAGGAGGAACACCAGUGGCGAAGGCGGCCUGCUGGACUGCAACUGACGUUGAGGCUCGAAGGCGUGGGGAGCAAACAGGAUUAGAUACCCGUGUAC
rnacentral:rRNA from 1 species